GAUGAAGAACGUAGCGAAAUGCGAUACUUGGUGUGAAUUGCAGAAUCCCGUGAACCAUCGAGUCUUUGAACGCAAGUUGCGCCCGAAGCCAUUAGGCCGAGGGCACGCCUGCCUGGGCGUCACACGUCGUUGCCCCCCCAUCUACUCCUUCGGGAUUGCGGGGGGCGGAUGAUGGCCUCCCGUGCGCCUCGUCGCGCGGUUGGCAUAAAUGCCAAGUCCUCGGCGACGCACGCCACGACAAUCGGUGGUUGCGAAACCUCGGUUGCCCGUCGUGUGCGGUCGUCGCGCAUCGAGGGCUCGAAAAAAUUGCCGGGCUCCGGCUCGGCUUUCAACGCGACCCCUGGUCAGGCGGGGUUACCCGCUGAAUUUAAGCAUAUCAAUAAGCGGAGGA
rnacentral:misc_RNA from 1 species